rnacentral:lncRNA from 1 species
GGGGCCUUGGUGUGUCAGCUGUGACUCGUGGUCAGCCAAAGGGCACAUCCUGACCGAUGGGCCGGCUUUGCAGAGGAGGAUGGGAAGGUACCAGGGGCAGUGACGUGUGCGCUUCCUGCUGAGGAGGCGUGUGCAAGGGACUGCGGUGACCAGGGGGCCGCAGUGUGCAGGCCGGAAGCCUGGUGGAGUGUGGGGGCCGUGGGGCCGGGGAGAUGGCUGGAGGGCUGGACGUGGGGUCAGGGACCCUGUUCGUGGCUGCAGAGUUUGGAAGUUGAGUUUGAGGCGGCAGUUCUGGGGCUGGAGCGGAAGCAGAGGCUGUUCGGCGGUGAGCUCUGGGAGUGUCCGCUUUGCGAUGCUCCGUAGCCCUGCACCAGGCGGUGUGAGCCAGCGCGUGCCCCUGAGCCAGUGCUGCGGGUGCGCUGAGGCCUAGCCCCGGGCUCUCAGGAACCCGGGGUGUUCUGCAGAUGCAGGGAUGUGCUGUGACCAGUCUGGGGGCUCAGCGACUCUGGUGACCCUGGAGUCUGCCAGCCACAGCCCCGGUCUCUCCUGGAGCAGCCGCACCCUGGGGAGCUGUGCGCGAGGGUACAGCCCAGGCGCGUGGUGGCUGGGGGGGCGCAGGGCCGUGCGCACGGUGUGUGGCACGGGCGGGAGUGAGCGCGAGAUGGUGCAGAGUGUCUGUCCCCCACGCAGCUCCCCGCUGCCGGCAGUGCCCCUCAGCGCGGCUGUCAAGUCACAGCCCGUGUCCUCAGCCUCCCCCUCUGGUCCCUUCCAUCCCCGCUUGCUGCUAUGUGGUGUCGCUCCAGGGCGCCAUCUGCCUGUCCUGGGGUCUGGGAGGGGUGUUGACGCAGGUGCAGUCAUCGCUCUCUCCCAGCAUUUGCCUGGGAGCCGGGGGAGCUCAGGGCUGUGUCCAGCUCUCAGAGGGCCUUCCUCUCUCACCGGCCGCUGCGUCCCCCUCACUGUGCCGCUGGAUGCAGGCGUGCACGCUGGGCACUGCCCCCCGUGAUUGGCUCCUGGUUCCCGUGGCCACGCUGCCCAUGAAGCCUGUCCUCUGCCAUGGGGCCAGCGUGGUUCCUGUGUCAGGCUGGUCA